rnacentral:rRNA from 1 species
CAGGUUGACCUCGGAUCAGGUAGGGAUACCCGCUGAACUUAAGCAUAUCAAUAAGCGGAGGAAAAGAAACCAACAGGGAUUGCCUCAGUAACGGCGAGUGAAGCGGCAAGAGCUCAAAUUUGAAAGCUGGCUCCUUCGGGGUCCGCAUUGUAAUUUGCAGAGGAUGCUUCGGGAGCAGCCCCCAUCUAAGUGGCCUGGAACGGUCCGUCAUAGAGGGUGAAAAUCCCGUCUGGGAUGGGGUGUCUGCGCCCGUGUGAAGCUCCUUCGACGAGUCGAGUUGUUUGGGAAUGCAGCUCUAAAUGGGUGGUAAAUUUCAUCUAAAGCUAAAUACUGGCCGGAGACCGAUAGCGCACAAGUAGAGUGAUCGAAAGAUGAAAAGCACUUUGAAAAGAGAGUUAAAAAGCACGUGAAAUUGUUGAAAGGGAAGCGCUUGCGACCAGACUCGCCCACGGGGUUCAGCCGGCAUUCGUGCCGGUGUACUUCCCCGCGGGCGGGCCAGCGUCGGUUUGGGCGGCCGGUCAAAGGCCCUCGGAAUGUAACGCCCCCCGGGGCGUCUUAUAGCCGAGGGUGCCAUGCGGCCAGCCCGGACCGAGGAACGCGCUUCGGCUCGGACGCUGGCAUAAUGGUCGUAAGCGACCCGUCU